GACGAACGCUGGCGGCGUGCCUAAUACAUGCAAGUAGAACGCACAGUUUAUACCGUAGCUUGCUCCACCAUAUACUGUGAGUUGCGAACGGGUUAGUAACGCGUAGGUAACCUGCCUGGUAGCGGGGGAUCACUAUUUGAAACGAUAGCUAAUACCGCUUACUAUUGAUUAUUCCAUGAUAAUUGAUUGAAAUUUGCUAUUGCAUCACUACCAGAUGGACCUACGUUGUAUUAGCUAGUAGGUGAGGUCACGGCGCCCCUAGGGGACGAUACAUAGCCGACCUGAGAGGGUGAGCGGCCACACUGGGACUGAGACACGGCCCAGACUCCUACGGGAGGCAGCAGUAGGGAAUCUUCGGCAAUGGAAGAAAGUGGGACCGAGCAACGCCGCGUGAGUGAAGAAGGGUGUAGGAUCGUAAAGCUCUGUUGUAAGAGAAGAACGGGUGUGAGAGUGGAAAGGGCACACUGUGACAGUAGCUUAACAGAAAGGGACGGCUAACUACGUG
rnacentral:rRNA from 1 species